GAGGGAUAUACGUAUCUAUAGGUUACAGGCAAGUGAGUAGUGUCGUACAGCAGCAUCCAUGGGACAGCAGCGGUCUUCUCUAACGAUGCCCACAGCUUCCGCUCCCCUCGGCCACUACUGUAUGAGAACUUCCAAGCACAGUUAAUUAGCAGCUGCGGGUCUCCUCCCGGCUGAGGGAACAUGCAUAGGAAUGCUCUGUAACUUCAGUUCUAAGAGCUGGAUCUGACACGUAACGCUGUAAAGAACUGUUAAAUGGUAAUUGGGGACCCGACACCGUCCCUCAGGAGGGGAACUCACUCCACUCCCACCCCGCGCACACCGCUGCGUAUCCGCGGAGCGCCGCCCGCCCCGAGAGUCGCCCCGGGGUGGGAUUUGGCAGUUCGGUCCAUCUGUAGCGGAGCCCGUCCCGGAGCCGCCGGGGGAAGGCGGUGCGGCGCUCCCAGCAGCGUGGGGGUGGGGGCGGCGGCCCCGGGAGGGUUCUCAUUGCGUUCGCUCUGCCGGAGCCCGACCCUCCCCUUUCACCGAAGCCCCGGCGACGCACGCAGGGCGCUGGGUUGUUUUCCGAACGCUCAGUCGAGUAGAAACGGACCGCGCCACUCCUCCAUCACCGCACGUCAGCCACAAGAAAUAAAUACACCGUCACUUUAUUGCCCCGGGCGGUCCUCGGCGCGCGGCCUUCCGAGCAGCCCGUGCCGGCGGCCUUUCCCCGGCGGGAGCGACGCGAUCCCGGCGGAGGGCCGAGCCGCGGCCCGGGGCGCCGUCCUCGCGCGGUCGGACGGGCCGGGCCGGGCCGGGCGGGGCUCCCCGCGCCGAUGUCCGCCUCCCCUCGCGGCCGGGCGCUCCGCGGCGUUCCCUCCGGUCCCGAGGGCCGGCGCGCGGCGGGCGCCGCCUCAGGGGCAGACGCGGGGCCCCGGGUACGGCUCUCCCCCGCACCAGAAGUCGGCGGCCGGCGCGGUCUCCAGCAGCCACACCUCCCUCGGCAGCGCGGGCUCGGCGCCGGCCGGCGGCCCCUCCAGCAGGCGGUAGUAGUGGCAGUCCCGGCCGUGCUCGGGGUCGUAGGGCGGCGCCAGGAUGUCGAGGAAGGCGGCGGGGCCCUCCACCGCGUCGAUCUGGUGCAGUCAUCAUUUCAAAAACAUCCAGCUCCCACCUGUGCUUUGGGAUGUGAAAGAAUGACGUUGGCAGGUAGAGGCCUCAAGUUCCUCUCGGAUGCAUCUGGACCAUUUUAUUAGGGAGUCCACUGAGCCUGUGAUCAGCCUGAGUGCAGCUGAUGGUGAGCAGCGCCAAGGUGUGGUACUGAGCUGCUGAUCAAAUUGGUGUAUUUCAGAAGACCUGAAAAAAUUAGAUGAUUGAAACAUCACUCGUAAGCCACAGCUUCACCAUGAGGACUUUAGGAAAAGCAUGGCUGCACAGAGUACCUUCACCAGCAAUCUUCCAGGCUCCGACAAAACUAUUGUUCUUGAAGACCAGAAAGAUUGUUAUUGAGCUUUCCACAAAGCUGAAAUAAUGCUGUGUGUUAAAAAAAUGUUAACAAUUUGAAGAAGUUAUAAAAAUUUAUAAGUUGACUGAAUACUUUGGAAAUUUCUGCAUAUUUUAAUAUAAAUAGAAAAUCAAAGAAAUCGUGGAAGAUGGAGGAGUUAUUUCAGAUGCAUUUGGUGCAGUGAUGAGCUCAAACUUUAUUCGAAACUAUUAUGGUAAAAUAGAACAAGAAGAUACAAAAGAGAGAAAGAAGGAAUAGAAAGUGGUGGAAGGGAAGGGUAUGUCUGGUCCAGUUUGAAUGCCCUGUCCUGGAGUGGGAAGCAAGUUCUGCACUGUAUGUGGAUGAAGUUAAUCAGUUUGCAGUAACAAAGUGUUGGAAGGGACUUCAAGAGCUUAUCUAUACAGAGCUGGCCAGCCUGUGCCUUGGAGGCCUGCUGGGGAGAGGUGACAUUCAAGUGAUGAAGAAAUAGGAGUCUGCACCAUUCGUCAGCCUAGCGAGAAGGCGGCUCUAUGCUCACUUUGAAAGAGGGCAGUGCAAAAGUUACCUAGCGAUGUGAGUACUCUGGGCACGGCGGAGGAGCUUCCCACUGAAUGCGGCACAGCGGCACAGCUGCUGAGGAGAGCAUGGCAACAGCAAGAAAUGGAAUUCACUGAAGAAAGCGCUUGACAAGCCAUGUGAGAACCAGCGUGAGCAGCCAGUGGGCACAGCCCCAUCUUCUUGGGUGUGUUUGAACAUGAGAUUCACCACAUCUGAGAGGACUGGCAUAGCAGCUCAGCCCAGCUAGGCUGGCAGCUGCUCUAGGGAUGCUGUGGGAAAGGGCGCAGGAACAGAUGGAGAGUAGUCCUUUCCAGGCUUGACUGUCCUGCAUUCAGGAGGUUGUAUGAGGAGCCCAGGGAACAGACUCAGCUUUCAGCUUGGGCUGAAGUUAUGGCUGGGUGGCAGAGCAAAUCGUGGGAAGGUGUGCGACGUGCAGUGGGAGGCACUGAGCCGCUCUGGGCAGUCUCCCAGCCUGGCCCCUGCACUGGACACUGAAGUGGUUCUCCACAACAUGUGCACGAGGGAAAAGCAUGUCUGCAAACGAGCUGUGCGCUUGGAGAUGAGAAUGUAGCUUUAAUGUGGAGGUUUGCACAUUGAGAUGCACUGACCUACUGGGACAGUUAAUGUGUUUCUGGACUUGCACAUCCCCUGUUUUCAGGCAAACAUUUCAUGCAGAUUUGUAACAUGCGAUAGCUGCCAAGCAUCUUUUACAUAGUCACAGUCUAGUGACUGAAGGAUCCACUAAUUAAGAAGCCCUUAAUUAGGCUUUUAAAUGAUAAACUGUAAUAGCUCUAGUGCAGCUGUUGUAAACUGUAGAGUAAAUUAUACCCAGUUGAAAGAGGCUUUAAUUACGUAUUUAUAUAACAGACUUUAAGGACUUUGAAAGAUAAAAGAAUUUUUAGUGUCUGCAAUUAAAGAAACAAGAGAGUAACAAUAGGGCUCUUAAACCAAUGAAAGCAAGGAAAUUCAAAAUUAAUCUGCAAAGUCACACUGGUACUUUGUUUUAUGCUCGUGGCAUUCUAAUUUUGGGGGUUUGUUUUUAUUCUUUUUGUUUCCAUAAUGCAUGAGAUAAAGAAGUAUUGUCAGUCGGGAGUUGAUGUCCCCUGCUCUCACUUUCCUAGCUUUCAUAGGUCCAUGUGCAGCCUUGGUGAUACUUGAGGAAACUUUCCUUGCUUUCGUUUUUGCAGAAAUUCCAGCAAGAAGAUUAUCAACUACUUUUUCUCCUCGCAUCCCGGUUUACAGAAUGGUUUGUUGUACACAUGCCUUUGUGAAGUCAGCAGGAGCUCAAAAAUCGGUUGGUUUGUUGGUUGUACCUGGAACUAUUCAGCUCUUUGGAGAUGGUGCUGUGGGCUCCCUUUUUGCGGGGCUCCGACCUGCUGAAAUUGAAGAGGGUUAAGUCUUUGCUCACAUUUAGGUCUGGACCAGACUCCAGUCUACCUUCCUGUUAGAUACCAGCACUGCUGCCCUCUCCACAGCUCUGCCUGACACUGCCUCUCUUGGUAACCUCACCAGUAGUCACCAAACUUGCAUGUGCUCUCUGCUCCCCUGGUUUACCCAACCCUGCUUGCUUCCCUUCCUUGCCACCUCUCAUCACAAAUAACAUUGAUGCACAGCAGUGAAUAAACACUUCUUUAUAGAGAAAAAUAAAACUGUCUCUGAUGUGCCAUCCGUUGCCUGAUGGGUUUGCUGAUCUGUUGCCAAUUCUUUUCAUUUCUUAGAUUACUGCUCCUCAAGACAAGAGCUGUGUAUUUAGUGCCUGUGUGCCUCUGCCAAGUAGAUGGUAUGUACAUUAGACUGCGAGACUGUAAUGUGCAGAGAGCUCAGCUCCUUUAGCUGCUCUCUGGGACUGGUCUUUACAACUGUAGGACUUAGCAGCCCAAGACAGCUAAACAAGGUAUUGCUUUUUGCUUAUUCCAACCACAUCCAAGCAUUUUUAUCUGUAUCACAGCAAGGAAAAUAAGGAAUACCACUCUCACAGUUAAUUUUUAUGGCUGAUUAAUUAGCCCAAAGAGUAUUAAAUUGUGCUAAUGUAGUUUGCCUCUUCGAUGCUGUCUUUUGACUUCAAUGGAACUUAAUACGUGCUUAAAGUUAACUACAUGCCUAAGUGCUGUGGUGAAUCGGGGCCUAGGGCAUUAAUUAGAACUUGGCUCAGAUUUACUUUCAAGGCUUUUUUCUCCUCUUUUUUUUUUUUUAACUCUUCAGAGCUCAGCAGUUUAAUUGGUAUGCAGAUGUUCCCCUUUAUUGCUGGUAGAAGCCUCUGUCACUGUUCUGAAGGUACUCAGACAUCAAGGCUGGUACAGUGGGCAGGAAGAAACCCCCCCUGAAGGCUUUCAAGCUUUGUGGGAAAUAAUGAUGUAUGAGACAGGGAUUCCUUUGGAACCUGAAGGGAACAUGACAGAUAGAAUAAUAUGGGAGGAAAACAUUGUCUUCACAAUUGAGACUGAUGGUCUCAUCUUGUCUCCUUGUUAUUGUUACCAACCAAGACUGAGAUGAGCUUUCUUACGAAGAACUUCAUUUCGUGGCAGGUUCUAUAUGUUGGACGCACUGUGCUCAGUGGUAGCUUUCCAUCCAAGGUACAGAUAUUGACAGGCUCUGAGGAACUCUUUGGGAUGGUGCUUUAGCUUAAAACCUAAAAUUCCUUCCAGCAUUCAGAUGCAUUUUGUCAGGAGUGACAGUUGCAAUUUGAUAAUCUUUUACCACUUUGCCUGUCUAUCUCAAACAGCUAGCUGGAGGGGAGAAACCCAGAGUUGUUGGGCACAGGAGUGUCAGCUUUAUGAGUCAGCUUUUCUCACACUUUAUUAAUUUCACUUUCCAGUGGUUAGUGCAUGUUUGGAAGAGACAACUGAUUUGUACGGAUCUGUGUAGGAUGGAGCAAAGCUGGAACUAAAGGAGCGCAAGUUGACAGCAGUGCAAUAGCUCUAAUUGACAGAUACCAAAGGCACUAUUUAAAGCAACUUUUCUUCUGCUGUUAAAGUUAAAAAUGGCCCCCAAUUUGUCCUCAGAUUCCCAUGUUAAAAAGAAAUGUUUGCAAGUAUAUUAAUUUAAAAUGGAUUAGCUGGAAUAUUAAGUGCUCCUUUUAUGUACUUGCAUUUUCAAGUUAGAUGAUCCAAAAUGCUUCUGUGCAAGGUACAGGAAGAUGACUGUUUCUUAACUCCUCCAGAGUAAAAGCUGUCUUUCAGGGGAUACUUUGCACAUGUGAGAUUUGCACUAGUGGUUUUUUGGCACUCACAGUUUCAUCAGAAAUGCAUUUCAGCAAAUGGGAGGCAGAAGGAUUAAUACACACGCCGCGUGUCGUGGGUGCAAAAAUGCAAGUAGAAAUUACAACCAUCAUUGGAAGGUCUGGGAAAAUAAGCCUUCCUGGAUGCGAGCAGGACAAAUUAGGAAAUAUCAGAUUUCUUUUACAACUGGCUGUUACUCUUUACAUUUCUGGAGAACUGGGAUCUUGCUGUUAAUCUUACAAAAAUAGAUGCUGUGGUGAAGCCUCAGGCAUGAAUAAAAUUGGAUGUUAAUCUUAAAGCAGAUUUUUUACAGCUAUGCGCUCAGAGCCAGUGAAUCCAAAUGAUUUGGAAACUCUGUGUUUGUUACUUAUUUAGAUCAAAGUGCUGUGGGGAAACAGGUCAGCGGCCCAGGUACAUAUUGUAACGUUUGAGGCUCCUUAAAGUUGAGCAGAUAAGGGCAGCAAACAUUAAACAUCUCUGGCUUCACGCAAAUAAUAGGCAAAGCUGAAAAAAGCCUGCUGACAAGAGGAGUGGGUGUUGGUGGGUGACUUGCUGCAGUUUUAGAGCUGUUAAGUGUAGGUUUUUUAGCAUUUUCAUUAUUUAAAAGUGGAGUGGUAGUUUCUUCACUCCCUCUGAAAAGUUACCAAUUUACUCUGAAAUACAGGGUAACCCGCAGUGAUUUAACAGAUUUGUAAUGUGCUGUAGAGUGAUUUCAAGUAACAGACUCCCUCCUUCUCGCCAAGUUUCCCACCGUCUCAGCUCUGCCUCCGCUCCUUUCUCUGUGUACAUCUGCACCAAAAUGCAAAGCAGGGGCUGCCCCACGUGUGACUUUCAUCAGCCUAGCUCCGGUGUCAACAUGCUGGGCAGCUUUGACCGCUCGUGCCCAUGCGGGUUUGCCUUAUUCCCAGUGUUCAGAAAGAAGAGGCUGAGUUAAUGACGUUUGGACGUUGGAAAUCCCACCACAGAGCAUGGCGUGGUUCAAAAGCACCUGCCACUCUGCUAGUACCACUGCAAGCAGACAGUCCUUCCUGGUAUGCAGACCUUCAGCUAAGUUCAUGGGAAGUACCAACGGAGCGUGGUGUCGGUCCCCAGGGUGCUCCUGGAAUCUGGGCAAUAUCAUCAUCUGCACACCUCUCUGUCUGAUUCAGAGAAAGCAGCUGAGCUGUGUUCGCAAAUAGCUGUCCAAUAAGACAGGCUUCAUGCGAAGAUGAGAGGCAGCUGAGACAUUUUCCCUGGCUGUCAAGCUGAAUGGGUCUCAGCCAGCUCAUGCUCCAGCCAGUUCAUUCCUACCUAUUGCUUGUGUUCAGUUGCCAUGCCUAUGGAAGGAUAUUUAAGCUAGAAGCCCCUUAGCAUGAUAAUAUUUGAAUAUGACAGGACCUUGCUGAAUAGAAGCUGGCCUUGUAUUUACUCUGAACAGUCUCUGGUGGUUUGUGGUAGGGAAUUGGGAGCUGGGGCUGAAGCCACAGCCUCUAGGACCAAACCACAGAAUUUACACACUCCUGCCAAGGCCUGCCAAUCUGUGUUCCUAGCUGAAGGUCUGUGUCACCGCUAUUUUGUGUGCUAGUGUCUUUGCUGUUUGAGGGAGGAAUCUAUUUUGUUCAGUAUAGCAAUACCGUCUAGCCUAGUUUAAUUUUAUUAGCUGCUGAUAACGUGUUACUAUUCUGCACGUCCAUGAGCUUGUUUAGUGUCAAUAACCAAGGGCAGAAAUACUUGAAUGGGAGCCUAGAUGGAGAUGCUUUCUCUUUCUCUAUUCCUCAUGAGAACCCACCUGCAGUACCACCACAUCCAGCUCUCAGACCCCCAUCACAAGAAACACAAGGGCCUGCUAGAGGGAGUCCAGAGGAGGGCCGCAAAAAUGAUCAGGGGGUUGGAAAGCCUCUCCUAUGAAGAAAGCCUGAGAGAGGUGGGGUUGUUCAGCCUGGAGAAGAGAAGGCUCCAGGGAAACCUUACUGCAUCUUUUCUUAAAGAAGACUUAUAAGAAAGAUAGACUUUCUACAAGGGCAUGCAGUGAUAGGAUGAGAGAUAAAGAUUUUAAACUAAAAGCGGGUAUAUUUAGAUUAGAUGUAAGGAAGAAAUUCUUUAUUGUGUUGGUGGUGAGGUACUGAAACAGGUUGCCCAGAGAAAUUAGGGAUACCCCAUCCCUCGAAAUGUUCAAAGCCAGGUUGGAUGGGGAUUUGGGCAACCUGGUCUAGUGGGAGGCCUGUGGCAGGGGGUUGGAACUAGAUGAUCUUUUCGGUCUCUUCCAACCCAACCCCAACCAUUCUAUGAUUCUGUGCUGAUAUUCUGGAGGACUCCAAGGUUUCUUUUGCCUUUCUUCCUUUCCCUGAUCUAGAAGGCCAGGAGAACGCUUAUCCACUCAUAAUAAAUGAUUCAAGCUGCAUGAGACUGAAAGGUCACUACAAGUUUCUGUUACUCUCCUGGUGUGACUGGUACAAAUCACAUCUUCUAGCAAACUUUAAGCAAGUAUGCUUCUGUUACAAGGUGAGAUGGUAAGUUAGUGCCACUGACGUCUGUUGGGUAGAGCAUUUUAUUUUGAAACCAUUCUUGCUCUGAAGGCUCAGUCAACUGCUCUUAAUCUGGGAGCCUACAGUGUAGGUAAGUGUGGUCAUGAGGCUGAACAGCUCAUGCAACUCUCCUUGACUUGAACUGGAGAAAGGCCAGAGUUUGUUCACUUUCACAUUCUGUAACUGAGAAAAAUGAAUUCUCUUCUAGGGAAGCAGUAAUUCCUUCCAUUCUUCCCAAAUAGAUGAUGACUAAAGAAGGUCUGAGCUGAGUAUAGAUAUUCUUACAUUUACUUAAAAUGAACGUAGCUCAUAACUCUUAUUUUAGCACCAAUCUGGAACACUACUGUGAACAGAUUUACAAAGUCUGCCUGUUUCUUACCUUGGCAUUCUGGUAAUUAUACUCAUUCUUGCACUGAUACUUGGGAGUUUGAUGAAGCAAAUGCCUGAAAGGUGAGUAGGUGAAAGGUUGAUAGUUUUCUAUACAAACCUGUUCUUUUUGUGUACGCCAUAAUUUUCUUUCAGUUCUAAAGUAUGAUUUUCUUCUUCUGAUACUAAGGAGUGAGGCACUGGGUUUUUUUUUGUUUUGUUUUGUUUUUUUUCUUCUAGCAUGUAUGUCAUCAGCAGUUAUUAACUUUGUUCUAGUUGCAGGGUCCUUUGUUGCUGGAUUGAAAAAACCUACUAACUUCAACCAUGUGUUUUUAGACUAGACACUUAACAAAAACCUUUACUGCAUUUAUAAAAUGAGCAGAUUUAAUCUGAAAGUCAUUGAAAGAAACCAAUAAAGAACUUCCUUGAUGUGAUUUCUGGACUUACUAUGUGGAACUCUAUCACAUGUUUUCACGUAUUGGGCAUAAGGGCAUUUGAAAGGAUAAAGAAGGUUAAAUGUAGAUGAUAAUGAAAAUAUUAUCAGUAUUUAUAGGUCAGGCAAUAAUGUCAGUGUAUUAAUGUGAUAUGAAAUAUUUCUUUGAUUUCAUGGACAGUGCCUUACUGUAUAUAGCUUGCUGCAAUAGUGUGGUCCUUGAUAUACAUAGUUUAACUUUUAAAAUGUGUUAGUAAUCUGUUUGCCUUGAAAUGCCUUAUGAAAAGUAUACUUAUUAUAGAACACAUACAGUUGCUAUCUGCCUAGUGCUAUCUCUGUUAUAGCAACUUAAGCUAAGAGAACACAUUUGGAAGAAAACCUCUUCCAAGCAGAGAAUUUUUUUUUGUUAUUGUUGCUGUGAAACUGUUGCUGGAAACGUUCAUUAACAAUUAGAGAUGUAGUCUUUCAACUGGACUUCCUUCAUUCAAAUUAUAUACAGAUUGCAAGACUCUUCAAGCCUACGGUCAUGUCAGGAGUGUGAGGAGUAAGAUAUUAGCCUUUCUUUUAAUCAGGAGAUCUUUGGAAUAGGUAUCUUGUUCACCAAAUUGCCUUCCUUUUCAUCUGUCACCAAAUAACAUCUUUGUAGAACUGCAGUAACUGGAAAGAAAGAAAAUACUGGAAAGUAUUUCUGUAGUUAGAACUGGGCUUGGCAUAUUUUCACCCUUCUGGAAAAGAGAUGCUGGUUUUGGUUCUUUGCUUUUUAAUCCCCUUUUUCAUGCCGUUGAGUACUGGAACAAAAGAAUAAAGGUGAGUACUGAGUAAACUGUGAAUUCUUUUUGGAUCAGACUUCAAGAGUCUGUUCUGACACACAUUUUGGUGUCACUUCUUCUGAGGGACUGUACUGACAAGCUCUCAGAACAUAUUCUUCCACGACAACUUCACAUAAUUUAGUAAACAUUUGAAUAAAUUUCAUACCAUCUUAUUGAAGUAGGCAGAAUACUUAUUUCUUGAGUAACCGAGCUUAAGUUAAAUGCUCAUAAUAAUUAAAACUAUAGAUUACAAUUAGUGGCUUGCCAUUCUAUUGCAGAAGUAGGUUGAAUGAAAAUCUCUGUCAAAAAUUAGAGGUUAAACACUGAAUUAAGAUACCAAAUAAUAGUGUGUCAGGAGUAUAGCCUUCUAUUUAGGACAGUGUUGUCAUGCACCUUGCUUGUACAAGGUCUGGAAACACUGUGAGACUUGGACAAACACAGUGCAGCCUCAGACUGUAGGGAUGUUACCUCUUUUUGAGCACGAUAUGCUCAGUCUCUUGGUUGAUGGAAAUAUGUCCAGUAUCUAAGGAGCUUGAUAGUGUGGGAGACAGCCACAGAUGCUCGAUUAGAAUACCCGAACGUUGUAGCAUGGGGCAGGAUAUAGCUUCUGUUCCCUUCUGCACCUCUGAAAUUGGUGUAAUAUGAAUUAGAUUGUCAUCAAGUUUAAUUUGUGAAGACCCAUAAAACAGAAAUGGCUCUACAUCGGUGCUAAAACUUACGCCACUUGCAUUAAAUGCAUGAGUAGCAAUCAGUAUUUGUUAAAACAAGUGCUUUUCCAGAAAUAUUUAAGUAAAAUCUCUAGGUGAAAUCUGAGCAAAAUUUGGAUUGGUACCUGCAAAAAUGGUGACCUCCUCCCUUCUAAGUUCGAUUUUCCUCUUGACGAUAGCCCUUCACCUAGAUGCCUCCCCAGGCAGCUGUAGUGAAUGGAUCUGGCCACAGAGGGAAUCUGGCCCACCGAAUUCCUUUUCUUUCUGUGCAAUUGAAUGAAAAGCAUGUGUCUUUUGAAGAACAGCGACUGAAAGAAAUAUUAAUGACUGCUGGGACAUCUACAGAAAAGCAUAAAAAAAUUACUACAGCAGGGAAGACAAAGGGGCUCUGUUAACUCUUUCUUGUAGGUUGUAUAUAUUAAUAGUAACGACCAAAGGUUCGUAUUUUUGCAGGGAAACACACAAGGCUUUGAAUUGUAUUGUUUUAAUUGCAGCUAGCUGAAUGAAUUAACUGGAAAGUCACACACAGUGCUUUGAUUGUCUAACUCUGUAUGUGAGGCUUUGGGAACAGUUUGUUAUUAGAAAAGAACAGCACUAACAAGAAAUCAGCCAACAUAUAAUUGCUGGGCUGAGGGACAGUUUGGGGAAAGCUGAUAUUUAUUUAUAAACUAUUAAAUAAAAAGCACAUAAUAUGCGGGUCAUCUCUCACUGCCUCCACACUUCAGAUAUUACUCAUCCUCCUAAGCUUCGUGUUCUACGGGGCAUUGCUUCUUAUAACCACUUCAGGAGUUGAAACCACCUACACCUAGGGAAGGAGAUGCUUGGACCUCUGUUACAAUGGCAGUUUUGGUUAUGAGACUGCACCAAAGGACAUGACUUUUCAGUUCAAGGAAAGAAUUCUUGACCAGGGAGCUGCUAUGUGCCUAAAAUACACACAAGCACUCGGGACUCUGUUUAGGUAGCCUCAAUACUGGUCAGUGUUUCCUACUGACAGCAGCCAUCUAUCCAAUACCCUAAAUAAAAGCUUAAGUAAGGCUUAAGAACAAUUUUGGCAUUCAUUUUAGUGGGAUUCUCAAAAACAUUUUCUUCCCAUCAGUUUGGGAAUUAUGCAACUUCUGGUUGUCUCUUGUGCUUUUCUCUGCCUGCUUAGUGCUAUAUGACCUUAGAAUUACAGCCACUUUGGAAGAUACAGAGAGGAGGAAGGUGGCGGCUGGGCUCACCAAGAGGCUGGAAUGCAUUUCAUCCUCAAUAGUUUUGGCUAUCAAAUACCUGUUCCUGCUUCUCUGGGGGAUGGAACCAUGGCUCUUUCAUCUAUGAGCUUUUCUCUAGGAAAACAAACAUAACUAUUAUCAUUGGCCCAGCUCUUCACAGCUAUACAGUUUCCUCUCAUUUCCAGCCGAGAGCUAAGAAGCCAAAAUUAUGAUGGAUUAGCUCUCUGAGGCUUUCUAGCUGUGUGGAAAGAGUAUUCUCUCCUCCAUCUUUCCUUUAGAAGCAGAAGAGGUGACUUCUGGGGACACACACAGCCCAUCUCCCUUGCCUGGCCACCCUUUCAAGGGGCAGCCAUAGGUGUUGGCAGCUGUGGCACUCACAGUCAGGUGCACAGGGCAGCCAAUCCUCUCUGCUUCAGAGGUGCCUGUUGCAAAGCAGGUGCACUGACACCUAAGCAGAUCCUCACAUGGCCGUGCAACAAGUGUGUGAGCAACGUCUGGGCCUCGCAGUGAGGUGUGUGUCCUGCAGACCAGGAGGCCCUGGGGACAGAAAGGUGCACCGUCACCUGGGUAGAUGGCACUGCCAGACCCAGCUUUGGGCUCGCUGAGCUGCUAUAUGCAGAUGAUGUUUAUGCUGUACAAACAAAUAGUACUGUUAGACCAUUCAAAUAGCGUUCAUGCAGCUUUUAACUGGUAGAGACUUUAUUUUAUGAUUUCAUCUACAGGCUUGUUAGAAACUUCUGUAUCCACACCAUCGGGCAGACUUUCUCCGUGAGGCCCAGCUGAGGUGAUGUGAAAAUUGCAUCACUAUUAUCAGCUACCUACCCAGUGGGUGCAAGACUGUUGUGCCAGAAGGUGCUUGAGAGGCGGAGCUGGGCAGGAUUUGACUUUGCACAGCUCUUGCUAAGAAUUGCUAAAUAUCUCUUUAACUGGUUUUUGACAUUUGAAUGUAUUUUCCUCAAGUUAGUUAUUCUUCUACAAAGGAACGUAGUUGCAUUUAUGGAAGAUCUUGACUUUUACAGCGUGUGAGGCCCAUGCAGUUUCCCCUGUGUACGCGUGUUGCCUGCAUAAUUACCAACAGCUGUAACAAAAACCCAGUUUUGUUAAAGGAGCUUUCAACAGAAAGGUAGAAGUGAUAUGCAACAGAAGAAAAAUUAAAAACAAGAGGGCUUGGAAAACGUUUAUAUACUUAGGAAAAAAAUUCAUUUUUAAUCCUGUUCUAUUAUUCUCUCUCUGAUAUUAAAAUCUAUAUAAAGCACUGCUGAUUUCAAUCGGCUCAACGCGAGGUAAUUCAGAACUCCC
rnacentral:lncRNA from 1 species